CGUGUAGGCGGCUGGAUAAGUCAGAUGUGAAAGCCCUGGGCUUAACCUAGGAAGUGCAUUUGAAACUGUUCAGCUUGAGUAAGGGAGAGGAAAGUGGAAUUCCUGGUGUAGAGGUGAAAUUCGUAGAUAUCAGGAGGAACACCGGUGGCGAAGGCGACUUUCUGGCCCUAUACUGACGCUGAGACGCGAGAGCGUGGGUAGCAAACAG
rnacentral:rRNA from 1 species